GAAUGUGUGGUUUGGGGUAAAGUAGGUAGAAUGUGUGGUUUGUGGUAAAGUAGGUAGAAUGUGUGGUUUGGGGUAAAGUAGGUAGAAUGUGUGGUUUGGGGUAAAGUAGGUAGAAUGUGUGGUUUGUGGUAAAGUAGGAAGAAUGUGUGGUUUGGGGUAAAGAAGGUAGAAUGUGUGGUUUGUGGUAAAGAAGGUAGAAUGUGUGGUUUGGGGUAAAGAAGGUAGAAUGUGUGGUUUGUGGUAAAGAAGGUAGAAUGUGUGGUUUGUGGUAAAGUAGGUAGAAUGUGUGGUUUGUGGUAAAGUAGGUAGAAUGUGUGUUUGUGGUAAAGUAGGUAGAAUGUGUGGUUUGGGUAAAGUAGGUAGAAUGUGUGGUUUGGGUAAAAAUGGUAGAAUGUGUGGUUUGCGGUAAAGAAGGUAGAAUGUGUGCUUUGGGUAAAAAUGGUAGAAUGUGUGGUUUGUGGUAAAGUAGGUAGAAUCUGUGGUUUGGGGUAAAGUACGUAGAAUGUGUGGUUUGGGGUAAAGUACGUAGAAUGUGUGGUUUGGGGUAAAGUAGGUAGAAUGUGUGGUUUGUGGUAAAGAAGGUAGAAUGUGUGGUUUGGGGUAAAGAAGGUAGAAUGUGUGGUUUGGGGUAAAGAAGGUAGAAUGUGUGGUUUGGGGUAAAGAAGGUAGAAUGUGUGGUUUGGGGUAAAGUAGAUAGAAUGUGUGGUUUGGGGUAAAGUAGGUAGAAUGUGUGGUUUGGGGUAAAGAAGGUAGAAUGUGUGGUCUGGGUAAAGUAGGUAGAAUGUGUGGUUUGGGGUAAAGAAGGUAGAAUGUGUGGUCUGGGUAAAGUAGGUAGAAUGUGUGGUUUGGGGUAAAGUAGGUAGAAUGUGUGGUUUGUGGUAAAGUAGGUAGAAUGUGUGGUUUGGGGUAAAGUAGGUAGAAUGUGUGGUUUGUGGUAAAGUAGGUAGAAUGUGUGGUUUGGGGUAAAGUAGGUAGAAUGUGUGGUUUAGGGUAAAGUAGGUAGAAUGUGUGGUUUGGGUUAAAGUAGGUGAAUGUGUGGUUUGGGUUAAAGUAGGUUGAAUGUGUGGUUUGUGGUAAAGAAGGUAGAAUGUGUGGUUUGGGGUAAAGUAGGUAGAAUGUGUGGUUUGGGUUAAAGUAGGUAGAAUACGUGGUUUGGGGUAAAGAAGGUAGAAUGUGUGGUUUGGGGUAAAGAAGGUAGAAUGUGUGGUUUGUGGUAAAGAAGGUAGAAUGUGUGGUUUAGGGUAAAGAAGGUAGAAUGUGUGGUUUGGGGUAAAGAAGGUAGAAUGUGUGGUUUGUGGUAAAGAAGGUAGAAUGUGUGGUUUUGGGUAAAGAAGGUAGAAUGUGUGGUUUGUGGUAAAGUAGGUAGAAUGUGUGGUUUGGGGUAAAGAAGGUAGAAUGUGUGGUUUGUGGUAAAGAAGGUAGAAUGUGUGGUUUUGGGUAAAGAAGGUAGAAUGUGUGGUUUGUGGUAAAGUAGGUAGAAUGUGUGGUUUUGGGUAAAGAAGGUAGAAUGUGUGGUUUGUGGUAAAGUAGGUAGAAUGUGUGGUUUGGGGUAAAGAAGGUAGAAUGUGUGGUUUGUGGUAAAGUAGGUAGAAUGUGUGGUUUGUGGUAAAGAAGGUAGAAUGCGUGGUUUGGGGUAAAGUAG
rnacentral:lncRNA from 1 species